UAAAAAAAUGAUAAUAAGUACAUAGGUUUAAUUUCAUUUAAAAAUUCUUUUCCAUUUUUCAAAAAGAAAAAAGAAAAGAAUUUAGAUU
rnacentral:snoRNA from 1 species